rnacentral:rRNA from 1 species
GACGAACGCGGCGGCGUGCCUAAUACAUGCAAGUCGAACGCUUCUUUCCUCCCGAGUGCUUGCACUCAAUUGGAAAGAGGAGUGGCGGACGGGUGAGUAACACGUGGGUAACCUACCCAUCAGAGGGGGAUAACACUUGGAAACAGGUGCUAAUACCGCAUAACAGUUUAUGCCGCAUGGCAUAAGAGUGAAAGGCGCUUUCGGGUGUCGCUGAUGGAUGGACCCGCGGUGCAUUAGCUAGUUGGUGAGGUAACGGCUCACCAAGGCCACGAUGCAUAGCCGACCUGAGAGGGUGAUCGGCCACACUGGGACUGAGACACGGCCCAGACUCCUACGGGAGGCAGCAGUAGGGAAUCUUCGGCAAUGGACGAAAGUCUGACCGAGCAACGCCGCGUGAGUGAAGAAGGUUUUUCGGAUUCGUAAA